rnacentral:rRNA from 1 species
AACGAACGCUGGCGGCAUGCCUAACACAUGCAAGUCGAACGAGACCUUCGGGUCUAGUGGCGCACGGGUGCGUAACGCGUGGGAACCUGCCCUUAGGUUCGGAAUAACUCCCCGAAAGGGGUGCUAAUACCGGAUAAUGUCUUCGGACCAAAGAUUUAUCGCCUUUGGAUGGGCCCGCGUUGGAUUAGCUAGUUGGUAGGGUAAAAGCCUACCAAGGCGACGAUCCAUAGCUGGUCUGAGAGGAUGAUCAGCCACACUGGGACUGAGACACGGCCCAGACUGAGGCGGGUGGGAGCGGGAGGGGAUAUGGAAGUACGGGCGAUAGCAAGAGGGAGAAGGUGGGCGGAGGGGGUGUAGGCCGGGGUUUUUAUACGCUUUGUGAAGCGGGAUUAAAAAGACAGAACGGGGAGAAUAAGCUCCGCCCAACUCCGCGCCAGCGGACGCGGUAAUAGGCGGAAGAGAAGACGUCUACCC